rnacentral:rRNA from 1 species
GACGAACGCUGGCGGCGUGCUUAACACAUGCAAGUCGUGCGAGAAACUUCGGUCGCUAGCGGCGGACGGGUGAGUAACACGUUGGCAACCUGCCUCACAACGGGGGAUAGCCUUCCGAAAGGGAGAUUAAUACCGCAUAAUACAAAGGAAACGCAUGUUUCUUUUGCCAAAGAAGUUCGUUGUGAGAUGGGCGCGCGGCGCAUUAGCUUGUGGGUGAGGGAACGGCUCACAAAGGCGACGAUGUGUAGUCGACCUGAGAGGGUGACCGGCCACAUUGGAACUGAGACACGGUCCAGACUCCUACGGGAGGCAGCAGUGGGGAAUAUUGCACAAUGGAGGAAACUCUGAUGCAGCAACGCCGCGUGAGUGAUGAAGGUCUUCGGAUUGUAAAACUCUGUCUUCUGGGACGAUAAUGACGGUACCAGAGGAGGAAGCCACGGCUAACUACGUGCCAGCCGCCGCCGUAA